ACUGCUAUCGGAUGAUACUAAGCCAUGCGAGUCUUGCAGUAAUGCAAGGCAGACGGCUCAGUAACACGUAGUCAACCUACCCUAUGGACGAGAAUAAUCUCGGGAAACUGAGCAUAAUUCUUGAUAGAUCAUAAUGCCUGGAAUGGUUUAUGGUUAAAAUGAUUCGUCGCCAUAGGAUGGGACUGCGGCCUAUCAGCUUGUUGGUGAGGUAAUGGCCCACCAAGGCGAUUACAGGUACGGGCUCUGAGAGGAGAAGCCCGGAGAUGGGUACUGAGACACGGACCCAGGCCCUAUGGGGCGCAGCAGGCGAGAAAACUUUGCAAUGUGCGAAAGCACGACAAGGUUAAUCCGAGUGAUUUCUGCUAAAGAAAUCUUUUGCCAGUCGUAAAACCGCUGGUGAAUAAGGGGUGGGCAAGUUCUGGUGUCAGCCGCCGCGGUAAAACCAGCACCUCAAGUGGUCAGGAUGAUUAUUGGGCCUAAAGCAUCCGUAGCCGGCUUUGUAAGUUUUCGGUUAAAUCCAUGUGCUCAACGCAUGGGCUGCCGAAAAUACUGCAUAGCUAGGGAGUGGGAGAGGUAGACGGUACUCAGUAGGUAGGGGUAAAAUCCUUUGAUCUAUUGAUGACCACCUGUGGCGAAGGCGGUCUACCAGAACACGUUCGACGGUGAGGGAUGAAAGCUGGGGGAGCAAACCGGAUUAGAUACCCGGGUAGUCCCAGCUGUAAACGAUGCAGACUCGAUGAUGCAUUGGCAUAAUAGCCAUUGCAGUGUCGCAGGGAAGCCGUUAAGUCUGCCGCCUGGGAAGUACGUACGCAAGUAUGAAACUUAAGGAAUUGGCGGGGGAGCA
rnacentral:rRNA from 1 species